rnacentral:misc_RNA from 1 species
AAGUCGUAACAAGGUUUCCGUAGGUGAACCUGCGGAAGGAUCAUUAACAUUAUUCUUUUACUUUUUGGGUUUAGUUUGUGUGUUUGUUUUUAUUAACAGAUGCACAUUCUACUCUCAUUUCACCCCAAAUGUGCAUUGUGUUGUGCUUUGUAACAAAAGCACUUCUUUUUUAUCCUAUACUAAAUAAACCCCUUUUUAUUACUUCUAGACUGACUUUAAACCACUUGAUUCGUACACUUCAUACUGUACGAUGACCAAUCAUAAUACAACUCUUAGCAACGGAUAUCUAGGCUCUC